GCGAGUGUAAUUUAAUGGAAGAAGGCCGGUCUCCUAACCGGUGGGGGGUGUUCGAGUCGCUCCACUCGUGCUA
rnacentral:tRNA from 2 species